rnacentral:rRNA from 1 species
GCAGUCGCGCGCGAAGCCUUCGGGCGAGUAAAGCGGCGCAAGGGUGAGUAACACGUAACCAAUCUGCCCCUCAGACCGGGAUAACCAUCGGAAACGGUGGAUAAUACCGGAUGGCCCGCUGGAAGGCAUCUUUCGGACGGUAAACGGUGGCGCAAGCUGCUGCUGGGGGAGGGGGUUGCGGCCUAUCAGCUUGUUGGUGGGGUAACGGCCCACCAAGGCGAUGACGGGUAGCUGGUCUGAGAGGACGACCAGUCACACUGGGACUGAGACACUGCCCAGACUCCUACGGGAGGCUGCAGUCGAGAAUCUUCCGCAAUGGGCGAAAGCCUGACGGAGCGACACCGCGUGCAGGAUGAAGGCCCUAGGGUUGUAAACUGCUGUCACGCAUUAGGAAUGGCGUGCAGUCAAUAGCUGUACGUUUGACCAAAGCGAAAGGAAGCACCGGCUAACUCCGUGCCAGCAGCCGCGGUAAGACGGAGGGUGCAAACGUUGUUCGGAAUCACUGGGCAUAAAGCGCACGUAGGCGGCGCGUUAAGUCAGGUGUGAAAGCCCCCGGCUCAACCGGGGAACUGCAUCUGAUACUGACGUGCUCGAGGACGGUUGGGGUGAGUGGAACUCCUGGUGGAGCGGUGAAAUGCGUAGAUAUCGGGAAGAACACCAGUGGCGAAGGCGCUCUGCUGGGCCAUAACUGACGCUCAUGGACGAAAGCCAGGGGAGCGAAAGGGAUUAGAUACCCUGGUA